CAAUCGGCCCUUUUCAGGGCCACCAUAUAUUUUAAACGUAUGAGUAG
rfam:Nasonia vitripennis chromosome 2, whole genome shotgun sequence.